AUGGCUCAAGGCCACAAGUGUGCGACAACUCACCGCAAGAGUGAUGGUAUUUUGGCAAGGCCGUGGUCGCGGAAGUGGUUUAAGGAGCCGCGGUCGCGACGACCGGCUGAAUCAAGAGGAGCAGUGGUGAAAGCGACCGGCGGAGGAGGCUCGAGGCCGCGGGAGCGGGUUGCUCGGCCGGCUCAAGGCGCGGCGGCAGCGGACGCAGGGCGGUUCAAAGCGAAGCCACUUGGAGGCGACAACGGCAACCGCAGGUUUGACGCAAGGUCGACAAGUCAAAGCAGAGCCGCGCCGAGCCAACUUGAAGAUGAAAGUGGCGAUCCGAAGCAGUGGGGAGGCGCCGGCCAAUGGAAUCACAUGGUUGCGGCGUGUUGCGGCAGCUUGACGAAGGAGCACCACAGAGGACGGGGAUCCGGCAGCUCAAGACCGCAGCCACGCACGGCAGAGGCAGAGAGCAGGGCCGGUGGUCACGGUGUGGAGGACGGCGAUGACUCAGAAGCCACCGAAGCGCACGCGUGGCGGCAGAAACGGGCGCCUCAAAACGAGGCCGCGGGGGCCGGAGGAAUCCGGGUCGUGAGCGGUUCUGUUUCCGGAUCGUAG
rnacentral:rRNA from 1 species